GAUGAACGCUAGCGGCAGGCCUAAUACAUGCAAGUCGAACGGUGUAGCAAUACACAGUGGCGCACGGGUGCGUAACACGUAUGCAACCUACCUUACAUUGGGGGAUAGCCUUUCGAAAGGGAGAUUAAUACCGCAUAAGACAAUAACUAGGCAUCUAGUAGCUGUUAAAGAUUUAUCGAUGUAAGCUGGGCAUGCGUCCAAUUAGUUAGUUGGCGAGGUAAUGGCUCACCAAGACGAUGAUUGGUAGGGGAACUGAGAGGUCAAUCCCCCACACUGGCACUGAGAUAAGGGCCAGACUCCUACGGGAGGCAGCAGUAGGGAAUAUUGGGCAAUGGGCGCAAGCCUGACCCAGCCAUGCCGCGUGCAGGAAGAAGGCGUUAUGCGUUGUAAACUGCUUUUAUACAGGAAGAAACGACCCUUGCGAGGGGCAUUGACGGUACUGUAUGAAUAAGCACCGGCUAACUCCGUGCCAGCCGCCGCGGUAAUAC
rnacentral:rRNA from 1 species